rnacentral:rRNA from 1 species
AUGAACGCUAGCGGCAGGCCUAACACAUGCAAGUCGAGGGGCAGCACAGGUAGCAAUACUGGGUGGCGACCGGCGGAUGGGUGCGUAACGCGUAUGCAACCUACCAUUGAUUGGGGCAUAGCCCGAAGAAAUUCGGAUUAAUACUCCAUAAUAUUCAUCAAAGGCAUCUUUUAUGAAUUAAAGCUUUUGCGAUCAAUGAUGGGCAUGCGUGACAUUAGUUAGUUGGUGAGGUAACGGCUCACCAAAACGAUGAUGUCUAGGGGUUCUGAGAGGAUUAUCCCCCACACUGGUACUGAGACACGGACCAGACUCCUACGGGAGGCAGCAGUGAGGAAUAUUGGUCAAUGGACGCAAGUCUGAGCCAGCCAUGCCGCGUGCAGGAUGACGGCCCUAUGGGUUGUAAACUGCUUUUCCACGGGAAGAACCCUCCGACGUGUCGGAGACUGACGGUACCGUGGGAAUAAGCAUCGGCUAACUCCGUG